rnacentral:rRNA from 1 species
GACGAACGCUGGCGGCGUGCUUAACACAUGCAAGUCGAACGGAAAGGCCCUGCUUUUGUGGGGUGCUCGAGUGGCGAACGGGUGAGUAACACGUGAGUAACCUGCCCUUGACUUUGGGAUAACUUCAGGAAACUGGGGCUAAUACCGGAUAGGAGCUCCUGCUGCAUGGUGGGGGUUGGAAAGUUUCGGCGGUUGGGGAUGGACUCGCGGCUUAUCAGCUUGUUGGUGGGGUAGUGGCUUACCAAGGCUUUGACGGGUAGCCGGCCUGAGAGGGUGACCGGCCACAUUGGGACUGAGAUACGGCCCAGACUCCUACGGGGGGCAGCAGUGGGGAAUAUUGCACAAUGGGCGGAAGCCUGAUGCAGCAACGCCGCGUGCGGGAGGACGGCCUUCGGGUGGUAAACCGCUUUCGCCUGUGACGAAGCGUGAGUGACGGUAAUGGGGAAAGAAGCACCGGCUAACUACGU